ensembl:scaRNA small Cajal body-specific RNA 13
AAUUCGAUGGCUAACACAUAUGACAAACCCUAGAACACACCAGACUUGCAGAGAAAGCAGACUCCAGAGGAAGCUGAGGCACGCCUGCUCGAGAGCCAGUGGUCCCAUGUGCAGAUUUCCUCAGAUAGGGCCUGCAUACUGUUGCCAUGGUGAUAAUGGCUGUGCCUCGUCCAUCGAUCCACCAACAGUCAGAGAAGCUCUGCAGUCGAGAUACUGUUUAGUAGACAGCACAGUUUCUGUUGGAUACUAAGUAUGGCUACAGAA